rfam:Lupinus angustifolius cultivar Tanjil chromosome LG19, whole genome shotgun sequence.
AGUCAUGUGGUAAGCACAAAGCGAACUAUUCUUUCGCCUUUUACUAAAGAAUACCGUGUGCUUAUUACUUAUUGUGGCAUACGCUUAUUUUUGAAAAGUGGCCUUCUUAAUGAAGGCCC